rnacentral:rRNA from 1 species
CAGUAGCCGCGGGAAUACGAAGGGUGCAAGCGUUACUCGGAAUUACUGGGCGUAAAGCGUGCGUAGGUGGUGGUUUAAGUCCGUUGUGAAAGCCCUGGGCUCAACCUGGGAAUUGCAGUGGAUACUGGGUCACUAGAGUGUGGUAGAGGAUAGUGGAAUUUCCGGUGUAGCAGUGAAAUGCGUAGAGAUCGGAAGGAACAUCUGUGGCGAAGGCGACUACCUGGGCCAACACUGACACUGAGGCACGAAAGCGUGGGGAGCAAACGGAUUAGAUACCCCCGUAGUCCCUGUCUCUUAUACC